UUUUUUUUUUUUUUUUUUUUUACACAAUUCUUAUAGGGAGCCAGAGUGGGUUUUGGAAGUUAAAGUUACUGUAUAAGGUUCAAUGUUAUUCUUUUAAUGUAUGAUUUAUCAAGAGAUCAACGGGUUAUCCAUUAUGGAGAAAAGGGACAUUAGAGGGAGGACAAGCAUUUUCAACACACUCCAAGUCUCUGUUUUUACUCAUGAUCACUCUGAGUGAGCUAGCAGACUUGAAGUGCAGACACACAAAUAGCAGCAUCUACCAGCUUGCAACACACUGUGAGAUAAAUCAUAGUUAAGAAUAAACAAUAAUAAAUAAAUCAUAGCCAAGAAAUGGUGGAUAAAUGGCUAUUCCAAAAGCAGUCAGAAUCAUAUAUCACAAGCUAUACAUAUACAGCUAUCUCAAAAUAAUGACAUGACUGGACAUUCACUUUUCUUCCAGGGACAGUUUUUGGUCACUGUUCUGGUACGGCAAAAUAUACAUUUUAAAUAUAAGUUAGAUGAAAUAAAAU